GACGAACGCUGGCGGCGUGCUUAACACAUGCAAGUCGAACGGAAAGGCCCUGCUUUUGUGGGGUGCUCGAGUGGCGAACGGGUGAGUAACACGUGAGUAACCUGCCCUUGACUUUGGGAUAACUUCAGGAAACUGGGGCUAAUACCGGAUAGGAGCUCCUGAUGCAUGGUGGGGGUUGGAAAGUUUCGGAGGUUGGGGAUGGACUGGCGGCUUAUCAGCUUGUUGGUGGGGUAGUGGCUUACCAAGGGUUUGACGGGUAGCCGGCCUGGGAGGGUGACCGGCCACAUUGGGACUGAGAUACGGCCCAGACUCCUACGGGAGGCAGCAGUGGGGAAUAUUGCACAAUGGGCGGAAGCCUGAUGCAGCAACGCCGCGUGCGGGAUGACGGCCUUCGGGUUGUAAACCGCUUUCGCCUGUGACGAAGCGUGAGUGACGGUAAUGGGUAAAGAAGCACCGGCUAACUACGUG
rnacentral:rRNA from 1 species